rnacentral:rRNA from 1 species
AUUGAACGCUGGCGGCAGGCCUAACACAUGCAAGUCGAGCGGAUGAAAGGGGCUUGCUCCUGGAUUCAGCGGCGGACGGGUGAGUAAUGCGCAGGAAUCUACCUCGUAGUGGGGGAUAACGUUUCGAAAGGAACGCUAAUACCGCAUACGUUCUGAGGAAGAAAGCAGGGGACCUUCGGGCCUUGCGCUAUGAGAUGAGCUUGCGUCCGAUUAGCUAGUUGGUGGGGUAAAGGCCUACCAAGGCGACGAUCGGUAACUGGUCUGAGAGGAUGAUCAGUCACACUGGAACUGAGACACGGUCCAGACUCCUACGGGAGGCAGCAGUGGGGAAUAUUGGACAAUGGGGGCAACCCUGAUCCAGCCAUGCCGCGUGUGUGAAGAAGGCCCUCGGGUUGUAAAGCACUUUAAGCGGGGAGGAAGGCCUGAUGGUUAAUACCCAUUGGGAUUGACGUUACCCGCAGAAUAAGCACCGGCAAACUUCGUGCCAGCAGCCGCGGUAAACACG